rnacentral:misc_RNA from 1 species
UUAAGUUCAGCGGGUAUUCCUACCUGAUCCGAGGUCAACCUUCCAUUUGAAAUUUUGGGGGUUUCACGGCAGAGCCGGGCCGCUGCUCCGGUGCGAUGUUUCUUGGUAAGCUACUACGCAGAGGAGGCUGCGGCGGGGUCGCCACUGGAUUUCGGGGGCGGCCGCCAUCCACGCUGGGGCGGGGCCGUCUCCCAACGCCG